CUCAAACCAGAUGCCCUCAAAAAUAUUACGGGAGACCAGAUGAUUAAAGCUAUAAUAUUUGAUAUCCCCGUAAGUAAUCGAUUGUCAUCUGAAAAUACCUUUUUUGUCUCAUUUUCUUUGUUGUUGUGCUUUUUAACUUAUCCCUCCAUGGAUCUCAAUGAUAGAGAACAAGACACUCCUGCAUUCUUUAAUGCUCCACAAUGUUUUAGUUUUUCAAAGAAUACUUUGGGAUUAUUUUUUGUUUGUUUGUAUAAACACAUACAAAAACAUUUUGUCAAGUGAAAUGAGACAUUUUCACGAAUCCGUUUUACCUAUCAAGAGUCAGAAGAGUGUAGCUCCAGUCCAGAGGGAUCUGAGGGUUGUGCCCAGCACCCGUGUCUGCCAUCUGGAGGUGUACAUUCAGGAAGAUGAGGACAGUCUGGUGGACUUCACGUUGCUGAGGGACCGGGAGAAGAUAGACUGGACGGCCUGGGACCUCCUGGAGAACCUAAACAACAGACUGUAUGACGAGGGAGGCAGGGAGGUCCCUCUAUCUCAGGAGCUGGCCCAGAAGAUCAAGGUAACGCCAACACCAUCCUGACCAUGUAGCAACUCCUCCAUUGAGAUUGACUCUCAGGGUCCGUAUUCGCUGACUUAUUGACUUACUUGGUUGAAUGGCUAAAUAAAUAAAUGUGGCAUAUGAGUGCUGAUCUAGGCUAUUUUUUUUGCCUUUUUUAAAAAGUCAUAAUGAAUAAGAGAUGGUGUCUGAUCCUAGAUCAGAAUUCCUACUCGGAGACGCUUUAUGAAUACGGCCUAGCAUUGUGCUGUGACACUGUCAUGUGAACUGGACGGCUGAGGUGAGUGUAGCGGAGCUGGCCCAUGGGAAGCUGCCCAACGUACUGGUGCCGUCGCAGGUGAAGGAAGAGCACUUUUACCAGGUCUCGUACAAAGACCAGCUGGUGUCUGUCGACACCUCCUUCACUAUAUUGUAAGUCUUCUACUUUAACAUGGUUAGAAACAUCCUAAGUAAAAUUUUGGUCUGUAUUUUGAUGUGGCAAAAUUUUUGCCUCCCAUGGUAAUCUUUUAUGCUGUUCACAGUUCAUUUGCUUAUAGAAGUAGAAACAAAUGAAGUUUGAUUGUGCUUGUCACAUCAGCUGGUGUGCUUGUUCUGAUUCGCUGUUUGUUGGUUUUAGGCCCCGCCCUGACAAACCAAAACACAUGAGGAUGGCAGAGAUCCUAUCAGGAAAGGUCCGUGAGUCCGGAUCCACCAGCAGCAGUUUUACUGUCAACUUCUAACCAUUAUACUGCCUUCCUAACACACAUUCACAUUUAGGACUUCUUCUUGAUUACCUUCCAAAUGAGAAACUGGUAGUUCCCUCUUCCAGACUUAGCGCUUGUGGACCAGUAUGGGAAUAAAAGUCAGACGCUGACCUCGACCUGUGUGGACUCGCUCGCCGUGGACGCCGAGGGUCUCGACAAGACAUCUCUGGUGUUUACCUGGCAGGCACAUUGAAUAAAUCAAAGGGAUUUGUAACUUAUUCAUUUACUGUGAUUUAUUAUUUUUUCUGAAAGUAUAAUUGGAGACAAAUAUCCCAUCUAGUGAUUUAGAAAAAACAUAAAAUGUCCAUUAUGCUAUGUGUUGUAACUAGGAGAGCACCAACUCCGUCUUGGUGACGGGGGUGCGGUUCAAUCCCGGGUUCCCAGGCAUCAGAGAGCUCUCCUUCACCUGGAGAGACUUUGUGGAGCACUUGACCAUCAAAGUGACGGCCGGGGUCCCUGCACAGCUCAAACUGGUGGACGGGCCACAGGAGGUGGGCAUUAAGUUAGGGGCCAAGACACUCUGGCUGCGUCAAUGGUGCCAUUUGGGACAUCAUCUCUAUGGUAUUGGUCAUGGCUUUCAUGGUGUCUGAGGAGGGCAGCACCAUAAAGGACCUGAACCCUGUCAACACCUCCAUGCUGAUGUGAAAGGGAGUGCCAUCAGGGACAUCACGGCCCACCUCAGGGGCUACCCAACUGAAAUGCAGCAAACCCAUGAAAGACAAAAGGGAAGACCGUUUUCACUUCAGGUUUGUAUCAACACAAAGGUAGUCCUGUGAUAUGUAUGUAAAAGGAUUCAUGGUCAUCUAACAGAGACAACGUCAUCCCAGAACGUGCUGACGCUGUGCCCAACAAUCCUGCCAGGCCUUCAGCCACCAAUCCCAGUGGUCUCCAACAACAUUGUCAUUGCCAGUCGUACUCUGAUGGAGGACGUGUCUGAAAAUA